rnacentral:rRNA from 1 species
CCUGGCUCAGAACGAACGCUGGCGGCGUGCUUAACACAGCAAGUCGAACGCGAAAGGGACUUCGGUCCCGAGUAGAGUGGCGCACGGGUGAGUAACGCGUAAGUAAUCUACCCCUGUAUCUGGAAUAACCCACCGAAAGGUGAGCUAAUACCGGAUACGUUUAUCUUGAUGCGAAUGAUGAUAAAAGAAAAGGUGGCCUCUUCAUGAAAGCUACUGUACAGGGAUGAGCUUGCGUACCAUUAGCUAGUUGGUAGGGUAAAGGCCUACCAAGGCGACGAUGGUUAGCGGGUCUGAGAGGAUGAUCCGCCACACUGGAACUGGAACACGGACCAGACUCCUACGGGAGGCAGCAGUGAGGAAUAUUGCGCAAUGGGGCAACCCUGACGCAGCGACGCCGCGUGGAUGAUGAAGGCCCUUGGGUCGUAAAAUCCUGUCAGAUGGAAAGAAAUGUAUAGCAGCUAACAUCUGUUAUAUUUGACGGUACCAUCAAAGGAAGCACCGGCUAACUCCGUGCCAGCAGCCGCGGUAA